GAAGGUGGCGAGCGUUGUUCGGAAUCACUGGGCAUAAAGCGCACGUAGGCGGCGACGUAAGUUGGGUGUGAAAUCCCCCGGCCCAACCGGGGAACUGCGCCCAGUACUGCGUUGCUUGAGGAUCAAAGGGGUGCAUGGAAUUCCCGGUGGAGCGGUGAAAUGCGUUGAUAUCGGGAGGAACUCCGGCGGCGAAAGCGGUGCACUGGUUGAUUUCUGACGCUGAGGUGCGAAAGCCAGGGGAGCAAACGGGAUUAGAUACCCCGGUAGUCCUGGCCGUAAACGAUGGGCACUAGGUAGGGGGGAACCGAACGCCUCCCUGCUGGAGUGAAUAUAUUAAGUGCCCCGCCUGGGAAGUACGGUCGCAAGGCUG
rnacentral:rRNA from 1 species